UUUUAUGACUAAAAACAACAGAAAACAGAACAAUUCACUUCGUGAGGACAGUAUAUCUCAUCUGGUCAUCAUAUUUUGCGCAUCAGAAUGGCUCGUAGGACGUGCACCCAUUGCCUGGUUUUGAAGGUGAUCUUCAAAAUGUCGGGUAAAGUCUGUGCCUGUUAGAUUGGUCACUAGCCCUGGAGAUAAGUUAUGAGAUCAAGACCAAAUAGAAAAUAACAGUCAAAGUACAACUAUACGAGUUUGCUGAGUUUCCCUAACAAUAACAUGAAAAAACAGCAUACCGUGAUUUGAAGACAAUCCUCUGUGUCCGCUGUCUGGGAGCAAAAUAUAUAAACUGGAGAAGAGCAAGGAAACUAUUCUCGUUAAAAGGGAGCAUGCAUCGGAAGGAAGUAAAACAAUUGAUAAACUUGC